rnacentral:rRNA from 1 species
UACAGAGGUCUCAAGCGUUGUUCGGAUUCAUUGGGCGUAAAGGGUGCGUAGGCGGCGCGGUAAGUCGGGUGUGAAAUCUCGGAGCUUAACUCCGAAACUGCAUUCGAUACUGCCGUGCUUGAGGACUGGAGAGGAGACUGGAAUUCAUGGUGUAGCAGUGAAAUGCGUAGAGAUCAUGAGGAAGACCAGUGGCGAAGGCGGGUCUCUGGGCCGAUACUGACGCUGAGGAGCGAAAGCGUGGGGAGCGAACAGG